rnacentral:misc_RNA from 1 species
ACAAAUCCUGCUGGCAGUGCCCUUGGGUGCUGUAGUAUAUUAACUCGGUCCGGGUCGUGAGAUCUGGGCUGAUAAAUUAAUGUGUGUGUUGUUGACAAUGUGUGUGUGAUUAAUUAGUAGA